rnacentral:rRNA from 1 species
AUGGAGCAGUCAGCGGCGGCCAGGCUGAUCUCGACGGAAGACGCCGUCCUCGAGAUCCUCCACCGCGUGUCCACGGAUCGCGCCGCCCUGCUCCGCUGCGCCGCGGCGUGCAAGCGGUGGCGCACUCUCAUAGCCGACCGCUCCUUCCUCAGCCGCUGCUGGCCGGAUGAGAGCGCCGGUGGUCGGUCCACCCUCGUCGGCUUCUUUAAUCGGCAACGCGUAGACAUCGACGGCAAGCCUUCGUACCGGUUGUUUUUCGUGCCGCCGCCGGAGGGCUCUGUGCUCGGCGCUCAACGCCGUCUUCUUACAUCUAUCGUCGACGGCUUGCCAGAUGAUGACACACACAUUGCGAAGCCGCUCGCCGCGCGUCAUGGCCUCGUCCUUGUGCGCCUCCUCACCGGCAUCCGUCGCCAUGAAUCGGUCCACAUGGCCGUCUGCGACCCGUUCGCCCGCACGUGCCACCUGCUCCCUCCACUUGAGUGCAAGGUCUCCUUUGUCAGUUGCACUUUCUUGACCGGUGCAGAGUGCCACCGACAUCACCCGUCCUUGGACUAUUUCAAGGUGCUAGCCGUCGUUUCCUUCGACAACCCCAAGGGCAAGGACGAUCGGGAGCGUAACCUGUACACGUUCUCGUCCGCCGAGUCAUUGUGGACCGGACCAAGAAAGUGUUUCGAUGAAAUCUACCGACCCGGCAAGCGCGGCUUCCAGUUUCCACAAAUCAGCAGCGGCAACAAUGCCUUGUGUGGCACGACGGUGCACUGGCUCGUCCCGUACUACUUCGGCCACUUGGAGGAGCCCACAAAAUAUUACACCUUGGACGCGAGCUCCGACACCGGACACACUUCCUUGACUGAGCUACCGACCGCCGUGAGCCGACACAUAACAUAUUCUAAUAGCCAUUCGACGCUUGGCGUCACCGCCGACGGGGCGCUCUCCCUGUUUUGCAUAAACGAGCAAGCUCUCAUGCAGAGGAUAGACGUGUGGAAGCGGGGAAACGAUGUCGAUAAUCAAGUCUGGCUACACUCAAGGGUGAUCGAGCUACCGAGCCAGGCGAAGCAUCUCUAUCAUCUCUCUGGUGUACAUAUGUUGUCAGUCGAGAAGAGCGACACAUUACUUGUCAUAGAUUAUGAAUCCCAGUGCGUGCACAAGGUCAAUGUCGAAACCGGGGUGGUGGAGGAGCAGCAGUUCCAGAACGGCCUGAAUAGCAUUGCCAUGCCUAUGAAUAUGGACUGGCCAACAUGGUUUGCGUCUCGGCUUGGUUAA